AACUUUUUCCAUAUCGUAUUUCCACCAUACAAGUUUCAAAUCCUACUUACAAUAGACAACACAUUUGUAUCUGUUUGCUCAAGAUGAAUCUAUGAUUUAAAGAUAAUUAAAUGUACAUACUUAUAUGAUUAAAAAUUCUAAAUUCAACUAGCCAAUCACUGACCUUUCUAAAUAAAAUAGAAACAAAAGUCCGAUUAUUGAUAAAGCACAAUAGUGGAGGUCGGAUAAUGCCAGUUGACCGAAAUCAAGACCAAGACAAGAUGAAGACUGCAAAGAGUAAGAGAAGAUCUAACCCGUUCUCUUGCAGAGUCCCACCCCUCGUAACACCCCUUCCCCUCCAAGAUGCUCUGCGAUCUUGUUGAUGUUGUCCUUGCUUGUAGAGCUUUCAAGGUGACUUCAUAGUUUCUUGGCAUUUCUUGAUGUGCAUAUUGGUCGAAGCCAAUGAUGCUUUAAUUAGUAGACUAGUCUUACUGGAAAUUUAUGGUGGGGUUGAUACUUCAAGUCAUCAGUUGUCAUAUUUAUUUACAAUUGUCAUGAUUUUACAUUUCAAAUUAUAGUGUAACAUUUAGAAAGAAACCAAAACUUUGUAGGGCCUAAAUAAAAUUUUUAAAUAAAUCUUCUAAAAACACGAAAAUUUUUGUUUACAAUGUAAAGCAGAACAAAUAAGAUUAAAACAUUUAAUUGUAUUGUGGGCACAAACCCAAGUAUAAAGAAAUCAUGCCACUAAAUAUUUUAGUCCAGCCUCCAUUCAUUUUGAUGAUUAAUGUUUGAUUUAGGAGUUUUUUUAAAUAGAUAAUUUAGAUUUGCUAAAUUGAUAUUUACAUAAUUCCUAAUAUCAGCAUUACAUCAAUUCUGAAUGGGGAUAUUUUCAAUUAAUGAAGUCCAAGAUAAAUAAAUAAAAAACAUACUGUAACACUUGCUAAUUUAGAUUAAAACUCAAAUAAAAGAACAAGGGGAGGGGACCUUAUAACAGCUAUAAACAUAUUUAUUUUAGCUGUAGUCAUAAAAUAAAAAUCUUUUACAAUAAAGAUUAUAGGGCUCAUUGAAAAUAACUUCCAAAAACACUUAUUUGCGAGCGCUGCCAAAACAAAAUACGGAUCUGGAGGAAAAACUGAAGAAGGCGAGAGAAAAGAAGGGAGGGGAUUAAAGAGCAGUUCAACCAUUUGAGAAAGAUGCCAGUGAUGCCUAGGUUUGUAUGGUGGUUUGUAUGAAUGGUUAGAUAGUAUAGGUCUAGAUUAGGGUUGGCCUAGAGAUAAGACUAACGCUCUCUAACAACAGACUUACUGGCUUUAGGUAAAGUAUAAGGUGUGACUGGUGUAGUUCUUAGUCUUGAUUCUAAGAUACUCGAUCUUGAAGCAAAACUAACGGCUACCCAGUCACCAGUAAAGCCACAACCCGAGUAGAUGUCCCUGAUGAGUGACUGGAAGCAAGUGAGGUCUGGUGUUUGCAGCAAUGGUUAAGUAUAAGAGGUGAAGUAUUGGGGUAGUGAAACUAACCGUUCUUUUCCACAGCGAUUAAUGAAGCCCGGUUCAUACUUCCUGCGUAUGCAAAAUUCCCAUCAAAUUCGCAUCGCAUUCACAUUCGCAGGAAGUAUGAACCAGGCUUGACGAUUCUAUCAACAUGCUAACUUUCUUUUGUUUUUUUCAUUUGUUCACAGUCUGUUACCUGUUACUGCUAAAUUGAUGUUGUGGCAAUUGUGCCCAGGUGGCAGCUCUGGGACACCGUAGAUGACAUUGGUUUGGUAAAGUAUUGGGGUUGUGUCAGGUAAAGUAUGUGGUGAACCUGAACUUUAGCUAAUGGGAGACUUUUGAGACGCUGGCGCACAUGCUCAGUGACGGUCCCUUUUCACAGUUCUCGUCAGUAGUGCGCGAGCUCAUACCUUUGGGCGCAAUAUUAGUGCGCGAGCUCAUACCUUUUGGGCGCAAUACUAGUAUUGCGCCCAAAGGUAUGAGCUCGCGCACUACUGACGAGAACUGUGAAAAGGGACCGUCUAAAAGUCUCCCAUUGGUGUGACCACCAAAUGCUAAACCAUCUUAAUAUUUUUCUUCCAGAAAGCUGAUCAAGUUUGCUUCUUGUGAUGUGCUGAAAUCUUAGAGCUGAGCUGAGGUUGAUGCCUACAAGCAACGACUGGGGUCAUCGCACAAAACCUGGUAAUGUAUCGAGUUACUGGUGAAGAAAUUACAGAUUCGGACGAUGACCUUCGAGAUGACAAACAUCCAUCGCUUGUUUGACUGUAGCUGAAGAAGAACUGUGUCAAGUCUAGUUAGAUGACUCUUCGCUUCCCUUCGCUAAAUUCAACCAUUCCAGUGAGAUAGAAAUGAUGAACUUGGAGAUGACAAAAGUAUAAUCUUGAGGCUUUUUGGACUCUGUACCACCAGCUGAAGAACUGUCUCUGCUACAAGUUCAACUGUUUAAGUGACGCAGAGAUGUUGAGGCUAACCACUGUCUUUUUGGACAGGUGCACAGAUUGAACAACAGACCACUUGAUUGAGACAAUGACUUUGGAGACUACAAGAUCAACCGUUCAAGUAAAGAAGGGAUAUCUAUCGUAUUUGGACUGGCAAAGAGUCAACAACAGACUACUUGUUUGAGACGAUUACCUUGACGAUGACGUUCAUUCAAUCUUGAGGCUUACCAACGCUUUUUGGACCGAAUGCAAGCUAGAUGACUCUCCACUAUGUGCUACAACCAAGUUCGAUUGUUCGAGUGUCAAGGGUAUAACCAACGCUUUUUGAUCAAUGUAUCCAUCUGAAGGAGAACUGCGUCGAGUCUAGCCAGCUGACUUUCCAGGUUCAACCCUUAACGAGUGACAGAGGGAUGUUCAGGCUAACUGCCACUUAUUGGACUGUGUGCCACCAGCUGAAGACCUGCCUCGCAGCCAGAUGAGCCUCCGGUACAAGUUGAACUGUUCAUGUUACAUGUAGGGAUGCUGAGGCUAUAACCAACGCUUUGACGAUUGUGCACCGCCAGCUGAAGGACUAUGUCAAGUCCAGCUCGAUUACAAUCAACGGCAAAUGUUACUGUUCAAAUGACUCAGUGGUGUUCUAACACAUUUUGGACUGCCACCUGCUGAUGAAGAAAGACUGUCUAGUUUACUGCUAGAUGAUUCCACAUGUAUAACGCCUUAUCUGUGAAGACACUCGGUGGAGAGGACCAAUGGCCAUCUAAAUGAAUGGCUACCUCUGGCUGUGGCUGUUGCUAUGGAACUCAUGUUAUGCAGCAGCAGCCACUUAGUCUGAUACAGCCUUAGCUUAUUGUUUUCUCAAAAGGCUUUUCUUGGAUCCAUCAAAAUCCAACACCAUAUUGUACACAAAGCUUGGUGUUCUCAUCAGUUGAUUUGAUAAAAUCGGCAUACCUGGCCCGAAGUAUUCUUGGCCUAUCAUGGAAAGACAAAAAUUCAUUCAACUCGAGUACAAUACCCUUUGGAUUUUGAUGGUGUCAAAGUAGUAAGGAAUACAACUCUUGACAUUGUACAGCUUUUGUCAAACAAACAAUCAAACACAUCAGGGCCCAAUUUCAUUGAGCUGUUUAAGCAAAAAUAUUGCUUUACAUAUC